GUGGCAGCACCACCACUGCUGUUUGCUCAUACAGCUCUGACUGCUCUCUGUACUCACCAUCCUCCAAGUAAAGACACAGGAGCCAAAUUGGCUCCAAGAAGCAGUUUCUGUUCACCCUGGCUCUGACUCAGCCCCCUCCAAGGGCCAGCAGUGCCACCUACCAGCUCUUGGAGUGGGGAAAUGAGCAACAAGUCUUGGUCUUAUCUGCACCGAGUGAUCACACCAUGCUUUUAGAAAGCAAUAUGCUUCGCAUGUGUGCUGGCACACACAUCUGCCUCAGCUCCAUCCUGGGAACAUUGCUGUCACUGAUAGCAUUUCCAUCUGGAAGUAGGAGAACUGGGAUAACAUCAAAUGGCAGAACCACAUCCUGCACGGGGCCUGAGCAAUAUCUGAUAGACUCACUGCGCCAGCUUGCAAACGUCUCGGUGCGAUCAGUGAGCAGCUUUGCCAGGUGUUUCCCCUACAGCCAGAUACAGUCAGCGCUGAGACGCUUCAUCUCACGUAAAUCAAGCGUAUCUGUCACCACUUUGUCCAUUUGCGUAUCGGAAUUGAUGGCUCAGGAAGAGCUGCGUGCCACCAGAGCACCUCCGAGUGCUGUGCCCGUGUUAGGUCAGGAGGGCUGCUGUGCGCCCUCCUGACCUGCAGCUGCUUGCUUGCAGUGGGUGCUCCCCUUUCCGAAGGGGCAGUGCGCCACCUAGCGGGCUGGAGCCGCACUGCAGGGGGGGUGCGGUGCUGCGGAGCACGGCCAGCCGAGGGACGGGGAAUUAAAGUGCUAACAUAUGGGCAGGAUGCUUUGUUUUACUGAGAUAACCAUCAGACGUCACCUCUGAUUGAUCGCGAGGUGCUUACAAAUAAAAGGAGCUGCCAACAACAAGCUAUCUGUCCUUGCAGCGCUGAGAAAACUGACCCAAACGCAAGCAGGGUGCACAAUGGGAAUAAGGGAUAGCAAGCAAGGAGCUCCCUCCAGAACUAUUAUCCAUCAGCCCACAGUGCUCGCUAGGACAGACAGCAGUGCAGGACCCUGGGCCAGGAGGGUCUCCAUGCUCUUUCCCAGAGUUCAAGUGAAAAACACUGAAGAAUGGCUUACAGAAGACAAGCUUUAUUACUGACCUUUUACCCAGCAGGAGGCAGCACUUCGUUACAAAAAAAUAACCCAAACCUCACAAUCAAAACUGGGAACGUUUUGCUGAUUGCCUGUCUCAGCAGCUGUGCAAAGCCUAUCUGCUUUUAGCUUCAAAUGUAAACGUGUUAUCAUUAGGGCUAGAAAAAAGGCUUUUGGACUUCAUUCUGAAGCAGAACAGAACUCAUGCUGGCUCUAUGCUGCCUCAAAUGGCACCAGACUUUUGUUUCGGUGUUACAGUGUAAUCAGUGGAAGUGAUCAGCAUGGUCAAUUAACUUC
rnacentral:lncRNA from 7 species